GCGCUACUGCGAGGCGGUCCUUGCGCGGCGGCGACGCGGACCGGGAGCGCACCCGCCGGUGACUUCUGCAUGUUGGUCUCCAGUCCCAGCCGCGAGGGAAGUUCCUGGGGCCGGCCGGGCGUAAGUGCUUUGUAAAAGAUCCCUAAUGUCAGCUUCAUCUUAAAGAGACAAGACGUCUUCACCAACCUCCUCCCCUUCAGCCGUAUCCAUAACUCUGAUCACAUUUCUACAGUGUCAUCCUUCUCUCCUGAGCCCGGGUUAAAAAGGCAGCUGGUGUCAGAAGUAGUUACGGCUGAAGCUUAUCAUCCAAGUGGGUAUCUCAGGCUUGCUCUACUGGACUGACAGCAGAGAUGCCUCACCCGCUGCUUGGUGCACAGAUGCCAGCCUGUGGUUAUUGGAACCUGUCUGCCAGACCAAAGGGAGGAAAUCUGCCAGACAAGAUGUGGAACCUAAAAGCGGAACGUCACUAACUGCUGUGGGCAUCUCUGCCACUUCAUGACCCGUGGACUUUUGGGGAAGUAUUUUUGUGGCUCACCAGUCUCUCAUUAGGCAAGGGCCAGUUCUCCUGGGCUGGCCUUCUCUACUGGUGGAAAGUACAGCUGGGAGAUUUGGAAUGGUUGCUGUUUGACUCUGAUUCUUGGCCAUGAGCUUUUUUGGAUUGCUUCAUGGUCAAAAGAUGGCUGCUAGAGAUCCAGUUUUCAUGUCUCAAACAGGAAGAAGGAGAAAGCACUAAAUGCCAACAGAGUCUAAGACCAGAUUAUACCCUCUUUGAACUGAUUUCCUGGAAGCCCCGCACCAAGGGCCUAUACCACAGUCGUAACACAACAACGCCAGAUCUGAGCUGCAUCUGUGA